GACGAACGCUGGCGGCGUGCCUAAUACAUGCAAGUAGAACGCUGAAGGAGGAGCUUGCUCUUCUGGAUGAGUUGCGAACGGGUGAGUAACGCGUAGGUAACCUGCCUGGUAGCGGGGGAUAACUAUUGGAAACGAUAGCUAAUACCGCAUAACAGUAGAUGUUGCAUGACAUUUACUUAAAAGGUGCAAUUGCAUCACUACCAGAUGGACCUGCGUUGUAUUAGCUAGUUGGUGGGGUAACGGAUCACCAAGGCGACGAUACAUAGACGACCUGAGAGGGUGAUCGGCCACACUGGGAAUGAGACACGGCCCAGACUCCUGCGGGAGGAAGCAGUAGGGCAGCAUCGGCAAUGGAAGGAAGUCUGACCGAGCAACGCCGCGUGAGUGAAGAACGGUGUCGGAUCGUAAAGCUCUGUUGUAAGAGAAGAACGAGUGUGAGAGUGGAAAGUUCACACUGUGCCGGUAUCUUACCAGAAAGGGACGGCUAACUACGUG
rnacentral:rRNA from 1 species